rnacentral:pre_miRNA from 1 species
AGUGGAAUUAUUGGGUCAUGUGGUAGCCCUUUAACUUUUUGAGGGAUUUCCAAAUAAUUUUUCAGAGCAACUGGACCAAUUUAUAUUCCCAGCAGCAAC